GCAAAUAACAAAAAGGAUGUCCACGAAUGAAGACAUACCUUCCUUUACUAAUAGAUAAAGAAAGAAAGACUCUACCAAAGGUUAUAUGAUUAAGACCAAUGUGAAAAUAUCGAGAAAAAACAUGGUCUUAUAGGGCUAGGUUUAAACCAGAAUUUAUAGAAAGAUUAACAGAUUCCCUAGGUGUAGCUAAAAGUUCAUUAUCUUCUUAAUUAAAAGAUAGGACCUCGGCUAUAGAAAAGGAUUGGUUUUGACCUAUUGCAAUCAACUCCGGAC
rnacentral:lncRNA from 1 species